rnacentral:rRNA from 1 species
CAGUCGCGUUCUCUGGGAUUCAGCCUUGCUUUUGCUUGGUGCAUUUCCUAGUCUACGGGCCAGCAUGGAUUUCGAUCGUCAUAAAAAGGCUGGAGGGAUGUGGCUCCUUCGGGAGUGUUAUAACCUUUAGCGGAAUGUGGUGGCCGGGAUUGAGGACUGCAGCACGCCUUUGGCAGGGGUUCG